CCUACGGGAGGCAGCAGUGAGGAAUAUUGGUCAAUGGACGCUAGUCUGAACCAGCCAUGCCGCGUGCAGGAUGACUGCCCUAUGAGUUGUAAACUGCUUUUGUACGAGGGUAAACUCCAAUAUGUAUACUGGGUUGCAUGUACCGUAUGAAUAAGGAUCGGCUAACUCCGUGCCAGCAGCCGCGGUAAUACGGAGGAUCCGAGCGUUAUCCGGAUUUAUUGGGUUUAAAGGGUGCGUAGGCGGUUUGUUAAGUUAGUGGUGAAAGGUCGGGGCUCAACCCCAAAAUUGCAGCUAAUACUGGUGGCCUAGAGAACAGUUGCGGUAGGCGGAAUGUAUGGUGUAGCGGUGAAAUGCUUAGAGAUCAUACAGAACACCGAUUGCGAAGGCAGCUUGCCAAACUAUAUCUGACGUUGAGGCACGAAAGUGUGGGUAGCAAACAGGAUUAGAUACCCCUGUAGUC
rnacentral:rRNA from 1 species